rnacentral:rRNA from 1 species
GUCAAGCGAAUAAGCGUAUAUGGUGGAUGCCUUGGCAGUUAGAGGCGAUGAAGGACGUUGUAGUCUGCGAUAAGCCUGGGGGAGGUGACAAACAACCGUUAUAUCCCAGGAUUUCCGAAUGGGGAAACCCGACCUUAGGGUCAUCGUGCACUGAAUACAUAGGUGUACGAAGCUAACCCGGUGAACUGAACCAUCUAAGUAACCCGAGGAAAAGAAAUCAACCGAGAUUCCCUUAGUAGCGGCGAGCGAAAGGGGAAGAGCCAGCAAUCUUUAUGCUUAGUGUUAGAGGAACGGUCUGGAAAGUCCGGCGAUAGAAGGUGAUAGCCCUGUACUCGAAAACACUUUGCAAGAACUAGGUUUGCAACAAGUAGGUCGGAGCACGUGUAACUUUGACUGAACAUGGGGGGACCAUCCUCCAAGCCUAAGUACUCCUUUAUGACCGAUAGUGAACAAGUACCGUGAGGGAAAGGUGAAAAGCACCCCGAUGAGGG